AAUAUUGCACAAUGGGGGAAACCCUGAUGCAGCGACGCCGCGCGAGCGAAGAAGGCCUUCGUGUCGUAAAGCUCUGUCCUAAGGGAAGAAACGGACGGUACCUUAGGAGGAAGCCCCGGCUAACUACGUGCCAGCAGCCGCGGUAAUACGUAGGGGGCGAGCGUUGUCCGGAAUUACUGGGCGUAAAGGGUGCGUAGGCGGCCAAUUAAGUCAGAUGUGAAAUACCACGGCUUAACCGUGGGGGUGCAUUUGAAACUGUUUGGCUUGAGUGCAGGAGAGGAAAGCGGAAUUCCUAGUGUAGCGGUGAAAUGCGUAGAGAUUAGGAGGAACACCAGUGGCGAAGGCGGCUUUCUGGACUGAAACUGACGCUGAGGCACGAAAGCGUGGGUAGCGAACA
rnacentral:rRNA from 1 species